UGCAGUCGACGAUGAAGCCGCUUCGGUGGUGGAUUAGUGGCGAACGGGUGAGUAACACGUGGGCAAUCUGCCCUGCACUCUGGGACAAGCCCUGGAAACGGGGUCUAAUACCGGAUAUGAUCACCGGCCGCAUGGUCUGGUGGUGGAAAGCUCCGGCGGUGCAGGAUGAGCCCGCGGCCUAUCAGCUUGUUGGUGGGGUGAUGGCCUACCAAGGCGACGACGGGUAGCCGGCCUGAGAGGGCGACCGGCCACACUGGGACUGAGACACGGCCCAGACUCCUACGGGAGGCAGCAGUGGGGAAUAUUGCACAAUGGGCGCAAGCCUGAUGCAGCGACGCCGCGUGAGGGAUGACGGCCUUCGGGUUGUAAACCUCUUUCAGCAGGGAAGAAGCGCAAGUGACGGUACCUGCAGAAGAAGCACCGGCUAACUACGUGCCAGCAGCCGCGGUAAUACGUAGGGUGCGAGCGUUGUCCGGAAUUAUUGGGCGUAAAGAGCUCGUAGGCGGCCUGUCGCGUCGGAUGUGAAAGCCCGGGGCUUAACCCCGGGUCUGCAUUCGAUACGGGCAGGCUAGAGUUCGGUAGGGGAGAUCGGAAUUCCUGGUGUAGCGGUGAAAUGCGCAGAUAUCAGGAGGAACACCGGUGGCGAAGGCGGAUCUCUGGGCCGAUACUGACGCUGAGGAGCGAAAGCGUGGGGAGCGAACAGGAUUAGAUACCCUGGUAGUCCACGCCGUAAACGUUGGGAACUAGGUGUGGGCGACAUUCCACGUCGUCCGUGCCGC
rnacentral:rRNA from 1 species